UGGACAGAAAGACCCUAUGAAGCUUUACUGUAACUUGAAAUUGGAAUCGGACUUUAUUUGCGCAGUAUAGGUGGGAGGCGUUGAGUUUAUUCUUGCGGGAAUUUAGGAGCCAUCAGUGAGAUACCACUCUGGUAAUGUUAGAUUUCUAACUUUCGAUCAUAAUCUGGUGAAAGAACAGUUUCAGGCGGGCAGUUUGACUGGGGCGGUCGCCUCCCAAAUGGUAACGGAGGCGUACAAAGGUUUCCUCUGAACGUGUAGAAAUCGUAUCUGGAGUAUAAAGGCAUAAGGAAGCUUGACUGUGAGACCUACAAGCCGAGCAGGGACGAAAGUCGGUCUUAGUGAUCUGACGGUACUGAGUGGAAAGGCCGUCACUCAACGGAUAAAAGUUACUCUAGGGAUAACAGGCU
rnacentral:rRNA from 1 species